rnacentral:rRNA from 1 species
AUUGAACGCUGGCGGCAGGCUUAACACAUGCAAGUCGAGCGGGGGAAGGUAGCUUGCUACCGGACCUAGCGGCGGACGGGUGAGUAAUGCUUAGGAAUCUGCCUAUUAGUGGGGGACAACAUCUCGAAAGGGAUGCUAAUACCGCAUACGUCCUACGGGAGAAAGCAGGGGAUCUUCGGACCUUGCGCUAAUAGAUGAGCCUAAGUCGGAUUAGCUAGUUGGUGGGGUAAAGGCCUACCAAGGCGACGAUCUGUAGCGGGUCUGAGAGGAUGAUCCGCCACACUGGGACUGAGACACGGCCCAGACUCCUACGGGAGGCAGCAGUGGGGAAUAUUGGACAAUGGGGGGAACCCUGAUCCACCCUUGCCGUGUGUGUGAAGAAGCCCUUAUGGUUGUAAAGCACUUUAAGCGAGGAGGAGGCUACUCUAGUUAAUACCUGGGGAUAGUGGACGUUACCCGAAAAAUAAGCCCCGGCUACCUCUGUGCCACCCCCCGCCGUAA